GGAUUGAGAAUAUUUUUCAACAUUCCAGACACAACAGGAGAUUUGGUCAAGGCGUACCAGCAUAUUGGAAUUUGUGGUUGUAAUGGCAGGACGCAUCACAGCAUUUCUUCUCAUGUGUGCCGUGUUCGCCUACGGUAAGUCCAAACUGAGCGACAUUUCCAAUCAGAAGACCGUGGCCGGAUAUUAUGACUUUACCUCCACGCUUAAGGGACGUUUCUCUGUUCGGUUCGCAUACUGCUAUAUUAUGUCAUAAGAUAUAGAAGCAUUAUUUUUGGAUAACAUGCACACCGUAGAAGCAAAAUUAAUUUUUGACAACAUUAAAAAACAAAGAACCUAAAAUAAAAAAGACAUGGAAUCCUACAAUAUCGCCCAUGUAACAAAAUUUGCAAUUUAUUUAAAACAUCUUCGCCUCAUUUACCGGUUUAUCUCUGGCUGUUACAACUUGACAUUAGUGUAGCAAUAGAAACUGAUUCGUAUGGCCUUACAGAUUUCAAAUUAGGUACUAUGCACAGGAGAAAAUAGAAUUUGUAGAGACAUCUUCAAGAAAGUCAAAUAGGUUGCUUUAAUUCAGCUUGCCCAGUAUAUAAGGCGUGGUUACGAAGAAGUCAGUGUGUUAGUUUAAAAAGACAGCCUAUUAUGUUUACACGAUAUUAGUGUUUUACGAAUGCUGUACAAAUAGAAGCGUUCUGAUCCCACUGUCUGAAACUUAAAAGCACAAUUCUUCGUUUCAAUCUAAUCGUUCCAAUUUCCAUUUUGUGAACGCGGUAUUCCCCAUAAAAAUCACCUCCUCGCAUUUGUGUAAUUCUCAAUUAUCUCCGUAGGCAUCAUAACCAUUGCAGCCAAUCAAGAUGCUACAGCACGAGGAAGUUCAGUGCCGGCGAGUGCUGCCAAUGAGGAUGCAAGAAUCUCAUCAGCUGCGAUCGGAAGCUUGGCGGGUGGAGGCCUCGGCUGAAACUCACGUGAUUGGCUGCAUCCAGAGAGCAGCGCGAGAGAACCGACUUUUGUCGCGUGCUCGCUUUAUUUUUACCGAGUGAAGUCUUCACCGCUCAAAUGAAAUAAAUGUCGCAACAUUACGUUGUGACUGAUUUAUUUUCUA